rnacentral:rRNA from 1 species
GACGAACGCUGGCGGCGUGCUUAACACAUGCAAGUCGAACGGAAAGACCCUGCUUUUGUGGGGUGCUCGAGUGGCGAACGGGUGAGUAACACGUGAGUAACCUGCCCUUGACUCUGGGAUAACUUCAGGAAACUGGGGCUAAUACCGGAUAGGAGCUCCUGCUGCAUGGUGGGGGUUGGAAAGUUUCGGCGGUUGGGGAUGGACGCGCGGCUUACCAGCUUGUUGGUGGGGUAGUGGCUUACCAAGGCUUUGACGGGUAGCCGGCCUGAGAGGGUGACCGGGCACAUUGGGACUGAGAUACGGCCCAGACUCCUACGGGAGGCAGCAGUGGGGAAUAUUACACAAUGGGCGGAAGCCUGAUGCAGCGACGCCGCGUGCGGGAUGACGGCCUUCGGGUUGUAAACCGCUUUCGCCUGUGACGAAGCGUGAGUGACGGUAAUGGGUAAAGAAGCACCGGCUAACUACGUG